AGAUCAAGAACGUUAACCAUUUCACCCUUUCCCGAAUCAAUGCCGGUAAUUGAACACUGGAUUAAAAUUUCGCAGAUUCAGAUAUUCGUUUUUAUUUUCUUUGCAUGCAGGAUAAGCGAUACAUUAUCUUAGACCUAAAGGCUGCAAGCAGCUUCCCCAAGACGAAUGUGUUAUGGAUGCGCAAUACCUGGUUGACAUUUUGCUGCUGAACAAAUCAUUUGUGAGUUGAGAUCGAAGAUGAUGUUCCUACUGCGUUAUGCUUUUCCAUUUUCUAAGGGAUACGUUUGCCACAGUCAAACCAAAAACGAUGAAAGGGAUCUGCGUUUGCUGAAGAAACGAUUAGGCACGUGCGGCUCUGCGAAAGAAGCAAAGGCCGAUCCUUUCUUCAGCAGCUUGUUGCUUGACCAUGACAAAAACGAUAAAGAAAACCAAAGAUUAACUUAUCGACAGUAUCACCCUAGCUCACGCUCUUGUAAAUAACCUGUGUUUUGAUACUCCCACUGGACAAAAACAUGUUGUCAUGGUGUACAUAUAUAUUGGAUUUGUAUUUAGAAGACGGUGUUUAAUGGUUUUCACAACUGUGAAUAUUUGGUUUA